rnacentral:snRNA from 1 species
AGGACUGUUUUGUGAUUUCUAAAUCUUUUGGAAUGAUACAGAGAUUAGCUUGGCCCCUGCACAAGGAUAACAUGCAAAUUCACUAUGAAAGUGAUAUCACA